UUCCUCACCUAGCAGCUGUUCCCAGGUAUUUCAUAACCACACAUUUCCUGAGGCCUUCCUGCCCUGGGGACAUGUCAGAGCUGUCCUCCAAACAACUUUGUUUAAACCAUUCAUAUCUAAUGUCUCGUCUCCAUUCAUCUAGGUUAGAAACCAUAGGGUCAUUUUGGACCCCUUCCAUUCCCACUUACACCUGUCUGCCAGUUCCUAAAGAUGCUGUUCCUGCAGGUCUGUGCACUGCCACUGCUGUCGGUGGCAUGGCUUGGGAGAGAAGACGAUCAGACAGGUCUGCCACUGUUGUCAUCUUACAGCACCCCCCAAACCAACAAACUCUGCUGUCAUGACCUAGGGCAUCUCUCGUCUCCAUCAUUUUCCUCCUAUCCAUGCUAUUUACAGCUACCAUAAUGUUCUUUCUUAUAGUAUAGUUGAUUUUGAUGCUGACUCUGUAAUCUUUGAUUACUCUCCACUGCCUAUGGAAUGUAGACUAGCUAGUUGCAAGGCGCUGAAAGUCCUUAAACAUCUGGCAUGAACUUACAUAUUUUUACGUUUAAUCUUCUAUCCUGUCUCCCUUUGCCCACUUGCAUUUUUCACAGCACUUUGGCUGUGAACCCGCCUUGACUUUGUAUAAGCAAUCAUCCUGAACCUGGGCCUUUGCUUCUUUGGUCCUCUCUCCUUGUGAAAAGCCAGGCACUACCCACCCUAAUUCAAUAUCUAGUGAGUUGUUAUUAUUUGAACUGAGUUUAAGAGUAUUUCCUUUGAUUGCACAAUAAUGUUUAAUGCAGAAAGCUUGGGGGAAAAUUACAUAUGCACAUUUUAACUUUGUCCUCUUCCUUGAAACUUUAAUAGAUCUUGGAGUUAUUUACCUCCUGGGCAUUGUUCCCUUAGCAUUUGGGUUAUGCUUUUCCUUUAUUUCUUUGUUUAUUUUUACAUUUACUAUUACUCAAUGCUUGAUAUUAUAAAUACAUACACACUUGUCCAUCCUAAUUGAAAAUGAACUGCUGGGGGCUGGGUUGUAGCUGACUCAUUAAUACCUCUCUUAGUUUAUCUCUUUGAAGUGAGCCAGUGGCUAUGCAGUGUAACUGCAUGUGUCUUUAGUGAAACCAUGGGCAGCUAGAGAACUUUUUUUUUUUUUUUUGGAGACAGGCUUGCUAGUCUUCCUCCAGUACCCCAGCAGACCAUUGGUGGUGUCUAGUGUCUGCUCUUGGGACAUUUGAGAAGUCUUUGUUGGGCUCAUUUGUGCCUCUAGUUCACAUCGAGGUGGUAGAACGUUUGCUGUGGUCUGAAACCUUUGGAAAAGGCUGUUUAAAUGUUUGCUGGUGACUAUCAAGUUUCCUUCUAAUAUAUGAAUGCUUAUAAUGGACUCUGUGGCUGUCUCUCUUGAAAGAAAUCAAGUCCUAGAGGGCUCUGUCUUUGUCACUUUAUUUGUUCCAAGUGAUGUAUUUACUUGGUCACCACAGUUUAUUUUGAUGAUCUUUGCAAGUAGUACUUUAAGGGGCGGACUGGCGGUAAGAGAAUUCAGGUACAUGUCUCAUUUUUCUUACCAAAAAAUGUGGCUCUGCUGUCUUGAUUUGAAUUCUUGAUAACUUACAUGUGAUAUCAAUUUCCCAGAACAUCACAGAGUAUGAUUUAAACUCAAAGACUUGGAAGUUUAUAUUCACCUUCUGGAAAAAAAUUUUUUUAAAGCCACUUCUGUUUAAGAGGGAAAGGCAAUGUGAUAUAAUGUGUGUUUGGAAACUGAAAGAAUAAUCUACCUUUGUCACACCAAGGUACUUCUCUUUCUGCUUUUCUUCUGUUGUGUCAAUUUGUGAUAAAAGCAGUUCUUUAUGAAUAGAUUUAGUGUACAGUGUUUGUAAAGUAUUGGAUGUAUAUAUAAAAUGUAUUGUGACAUGCUUGGAAGGGUAAUAACUGGAAGAAAUUUUAUUAUAUUUAAUGUUACUUAUGAAUCCUUACCUGCAGGAAUGUGACAUAUCUAAUAUUAAAAAUAAUUUCAUUAUUGGGAAAGAAAAAAUGUAUAUCUUACACACUUUUAAAGAAAAAUACAAACAUGAAAUACAGUCAGCAGGAAGACAGGUUGAUGAUGGAAAAUAAUAUAAUUUUCUGCUUUAUGUAAUGGAAUUCAAUUCUUUUUCACUAUUUGAAUUAUAGAGAAUCUUAUAGAUUUUGGGGGGGUGGGGGGAUGGAAGAGAAAUGUUAAAGAUAUUAUUUAGCAGGAAUGAUUUGCCGGAACCAGAUAUCAGUUCUUAUAACAUUUGUUUUGUCUUUUUUGUCUUUUUAGGGCCAUACCUGUGGCAUAUGGAGGUUCCCAGGCUAGGGGUUGAAUCAGAGCUGUAGCCACCGGCCUACGCCACAGCCACAGCAAUGCAGGAUCCGAGCCGUGUCUGCGACCUACACCACAGCUCAUGGCAAUGCCGGAUCCUUAACCUACUGAGCGAGGUCAGGGAUCGAACCCUCAACCUCAUGGUUCCUAGCCAGAUUCAUUUGUGCUGCGCCAAGAUGGGAAUUCCUGUAAAUGACAUUUUGAUUGAGCCCGGGACUGUGUGUUGAGGCAGUCUCUGAACUUGAGCAGUUUAUACUGCAGGAAAGUCUACCUUCUGGUGGCAGCGUGUGGCAUUUUCCUGCACUCUUGGAGUCUGGGCUUUGUAACCAUCUGCCUGAUAGCUUUUGCCUAACCUUUUGUUCCUUGGCAGCUGCUCUAAUAAAAGAAGUAGUUUGGAGGAGGUAUGGAUAAGC
ensembl:lncRNA